rnacentral:rRNA from 1 species
UACAGAGGGUGCGAGCGUUGUCCGGAAUCACUGGGCGUAAAGGGCGCGUAGGUGGCCCGACAAGUCAGUGGUGAAAGUUCGACGCUUAACGUCGAAUCGGCCACUGAUACUGUUGGGCUGGAGCACUGUAGAGGCUCAUGGAAUUCCGGGUGUAGCGGUGGAAUGCGUAGAGAUCCGGAAGAACACCGGUGGCGAAGGCGGUGAGCUGGGCAGUUGCUGACACUGAGGCGCGACAGCGUGGGGAUCAAACAGG